CUUUCCUGUCCUCUUCAGUGCCUCUUUUCUUGAGAUGAUAUGAAAACCAGAUACAGCAAUUGUUCAUCUGAUUUUCGGUUCUUAUGCAGUAUCUGGUGCCUGGAGAAGGAGAUGGAGAAGUAGGAGCAGAAGAAGGAGAAGGAAGGAAAGAAGAACAAAGCUAGAGGCUCAUCAGUGAACUGUGUGACCAAACAGAACAGAAGCUUGUUUUUCAUUCAUGCUACCUACUCCUCCCGGAGCUGGCAGGAGUUCUUGUCCACAUUGUCAAGCGGGGUCAUUGACGACUGAAUUUCCCACAUUUUGUGACAGCUGCAUCUAGAAUAUGCAGCACUCUCCAUCAUCACGUGAGAAAAAGAGAUUGGAGAAUCACCCAGAGCUCUUUAUUGCCUCAGCCAAAUAAG